GGAGAGGUGUCCGAGUGGCCGAAGGAGCCUGACUCGAAAUCAGGUGUGGCGGCAACGUCACCGUGGGUUCGAAUCCCACCCUCUCCG
rnacentral:tRNA from 1 species